GGACCCUGGAGGGUGGGAAGGUCCCAGAGCGCAGGUUCCAUCCCCAGAUCCAAAGUCUACACAGCAAUGAAACAGCUCUGCAGCCCGAGCCCCAUGACCCCGAGUUGGCUGGCACAUGCCAGCUGCCGCUUUCUCUUUGCUGUGUAGAUGUAUCCUGAGUGUGGAGGAAUUCAGGCAGUGGAUUACCAUGCCCUUUCCCCCCAAGUAAUUCUCCCAUGCAAUAAAUAGAUAGCCCCUUCUCUUUCCAUCAGGCUGCCUUCCCUAGCAUGGGUCAGCCAGGCACACGCAUACCGUACAUGGUUGUCUGGGUCUUAAUGCUCAAUAUCCACAGAAGGAGAUCAACUCCCUUCUGUUAAAAAUUGAGGCCAUUUAGUCAGCCUUGGAAUAAGGGUUCAUUGGGUGAUAGCCAGGUCCUCCUCUUUGGCUGGGAUGUGUAAGCUGGUCGCUUUUUUCUCUUAAUGGACUUUUAAGGAAAAAAGUCCUUUGGGAUUCAGCAAGUGAACCCUUAUCCCUCUUCAUAGUGUAUUCUGGGGUAAGUCCCUGUCAUCAGUGCUGUGUCUGAGCACUCAGCAAUGGAUUGAGAGCCAGCAGCUGGCACUGGGGACUUGAAGAGUCUGCGUGAUCCUAGCUAGGGGGUCACACAUCACUCUGCAAAGGCAGCUGAGGCUCAUUAUCCAUUCAGCCAGGAUGGCAAGGAGCCAAAGGUUGUUCUAGUCACCUCAUUAGAGAGUGGUCUAAAGGGUAAAGUAGCUGAUUAGUAAAUGAAGAGUUUUGGAGGGCUGUGGCUGAGCCUGUCUGCAUCUCAAUUAAGCUUAGUCGUUUGAAAUAUGAUAUUGCUGCCACUGGCUGACUGUGCUAAUUUGAGUGUUUCCAAAACGCUGCAAAUAAAUUCCAAAUGAGUUUCCCCAAGGAUUAAAACAGGCUAAGCCACAGAUACAGCCUUUGAGAUGACCUAGGCUGGGUGCUGCUGACCUGAGCGGUGACAAGAGGUAACCUGCAGAAGGAGAAGAGGCUGUGGGAGGAAAAACUAAAUAGAGGCUCUGGAGGGGAAAGAGGCAAGAAGAGAAAAUAAAAAGGGAGAGAGAAAGCAAAACAAGGAGGAGGAGUCUAAAGAAAGCUCUGUGGAGAUAAAAUGACUUGAAGUGGGUGUGACAACAGAGAAGGAAAUCAGGAAUGGACUAAAACAUGCAAGGAAAAUCCAAAGUCUGAGGUGGCCAUGCCUGCUCCACGCACCAGGCAAUCCCCCGCUGGGAGCAAUGCCUGUUGAGAGUGGAUUGAGCCAGGAGGAGGAAAUCUUGGAAGAGGAUGUGGGGGGGAAGGGGAACCCAGAGGCAGAGGAUGACUCAGAGGUCAGAGAUGCAUGCAGUCAGGCGCUCUUUUCUACCUGGAGUAGCCUAGCCAGUCACAGCUGUCGGAGAUUGGCAAAGUGCAAACAGGAAAGGAGGCCUCUGAGAUGACCUUGGGAGCCCCAGCCUCCCUCUUUGUUAUUGUGGCUGAAUGGAUGUGCAGAAUUAGAAAGUGGCCAAGAAGAACUAAGGAGGACAUUCUGUGUGAUGUUAUGAUGCACUCUGCUGCUGAGAAACAGGAAAUGAAGGAGUGGCGGGACAGCGAGAAGGAGGACCGAAAGAAGAACGUGGCACACCAGAAUGAAGCCAUGGAGCAGCUCUUAAAGGUUAUGGAGCGCCAAGCAGACACGUGCCUGGUGAUACUAGCUCUUCAAACUGAGCAGCUCCCCUCCACUCCCUGCAGUCGCUGUCGCAAAACUCUUUCCCAUGUGACCCCACACACACCACCAACACACUCUUAUCAACAUCCUGGCUACAGUCUAUACCUGUGGCAUUCCACUCUUUCCCCCCUCACAGACUAGCACUGUGGAUUCCCACUACCCACUGCACUCAACACCUAUCCUCUGCAAUUUGGCCCUGCAAAAGUACAGUACCUGCUGCAUUGUACUCCAAAGGAGAAGGAUGGAUAUGAUCCCUGGACAUACACAAAUCUUUAGCCAUCCUGGGCAGGGCCGGCUCUACUGUUUUUGCCUCCCCAAGCAGCACGCCAAAUUGCCGCCGGACGGCGGGGGGGGGGGCAGUCCAUGUGCCGUUAGGGCAGCAUGCGCGUUUCCACAGCGGCAGCAAUUCAGCAGCAGCUUCUGUCUUCAGCUGGAAGACAGAAGCCGCCGAAUUGCCGCCGCAGGCAGCUGAACAUAGAAGCUGCUGCCGAAUUGCCACCGCUGCAGAAACGUGUGUGCCGCCCUAACAGCACAUGGACUGCCCCCGCCGUCUGCGGUGACAAUUCAGCGCGCAGCUUGGGAUGGCAAAAACACACGGACUGCUGCCCCUUGCAGAUUGCCGCCCCAAGCACCUGCUUGGAAUGCUGGUGCCUGGAGCUGGCCCUGGUCCUGGGACCCCUUCUCCUCCUGGGAACUUCCCUUCCCCCAUACCCCUCAUUGCUGAUGGGGGUUUUUUGUGUGUGUGUUUGACUCUCUCCUCUGGUUGUUGUCUUUUAAUAAAAGAAUUGUGUUGGUUUGAAAGCAA